GACGAACGCUGGCGGCGUGCUUAACACAUGCAAGUCGAACGGUGAACCAGGGCUUGCCCUGGGAAUCAGUGGCGAACGGGUGAGUAACACGUGGGCAACCUGCCCCUGACUCUGGGAUAACUUCGGGAAACCGAAUCUAAUACCGGAUAAGACCUCUUUGGGCAUCCUUAUAGGUGGAAAGUUUUUCGGUCAGGGAUGGGCCCGCGGCCUAUCAGCUUGUUGGUGGGGUAAUGGCCCACCAAGGCGACGACGGGUAGCCGGCCUGAGAGGGCGACCGGCCACACUGGGACUGAGACACGGCCCAGACGCCUACGGGAGGCAGCAGUGGGGAAUAUUGCGCAAUGGGCGAAAGCCUGACGGAGCGACGCCGCGUGAGGGAUGAAGGCCUUCGGGUUGUAAACCUCUUUCAGCAGGGACGAAGCGAAAGUGACUGUACCUGCAGAAGAAGCACCGGCUAACUACGUGCCAGCAGCCGCCGUAA
rnacentral:rRNA from 1 species